rnacentral:rRNA from 1 species
GACGAACGCUGGCGGCGUGCUUAACACAUGCAAGUCGAACGGCAAGGCCCUGCUUUUGUGGUGUGCUCGAGUGGCGAACGGGUGAGUAACACGUGAGUAACCUGCUCUUGACUUUGGGAUAACUUCAGGAAACUGGGGCUACUACCGGAUAGGAGCUCCUGCUGCAUGGUGGGGGGUGGAAAGUUUCGGCGGUUGGGGAUGGACUCGCGGCUUAUCAGCUUGUUGGUGGGGUAGUGGCUUACCAAGGCUUUGACGGGUAGCCGGCCUGAGAGGGUGACCGGCCACAUUGGGACUGAGAUACGGCCCAGACUCCUACGGGAGGCAGCAGUGGGGAAUCUUGCACAAUGGGCGGAAGCCUGAUGCAGCAACGCCGCGUGCGGGAUGACGGCCUUCGGGUUGUGAACCGCUUUCGCCUGUGACGAAGCGUGAGUGACGGUAAUGGGUAAAGAAGCACCGGCUAACUACGUG